CCACGGGAGGCUGCAGUGAGGAAUAUUGGUCAAUGGCCGGGAGGCUGAACCAGCCAUGCCGCGUGAAGGUCAGUGCCCUAUGGGCGUUAAACUUCUUUUGUGCGGGAGCAAUAAUGGUCACGUGUGGCCAGACGAGAGUACCGUACGAAUAAGCAUAGGCUAACUCCGGGCCAGCAGCGGCGGUAAUACGGGGGAUGCAAGCGUUAUCCGGAGUUAUUGGGUUUAAAGGGUGCGUAGGCUGUGAGGUAAGUCAGCGGUGAAAUGCCCCCGCUCAACGGGGUGAAGUGCCAUUGAUACUGCCUUGCUGGAAUGCGGAUGCCGUGGGCGGAAUGUGUGGUGUAGCGGUGAAAUGCAUAGAUAUCACACAGAACACCGAUUGCGAAGGCAUCUCACGAAGCCGCGAUUGACGCUGAUGCACGAAAGCGUGGGUAUCAAACAGGAUUAGAUACCCUUGUAGUC
rnacentral:rRNA from 1 species